ensembl:lncRNA
GGUGAUCAAAGUCCAUCCAGUCCUUCGUCUCGGUGGCCGGGUGCUAACCAUGAUGUCGCCUCGGGGAAAAGCAGACAACCGACGCGUGGUCUUGGAAAGGUCUCGCUCACGCCACGCCGCAAACCCCCAAGCUCGAUGAUGGCCCGAGCUUACCAGAAGACGUUAGACAAGUGCCAAAGAGGCCUGCGUGGAGACUCUGAGGAUGUCUUGUAGACGGGAUGGACCCUAGCCAUGUGGCACAUCCAGACACAUGUACACACACACAUAUAUAUACAUACAAACACACACAGAACGUAUAAUUGUACACACACUUCCAUAUACAAACCCACUGCCAGCUCCUUAAGACAGAACUGAGGAGCUCUGACAACAUCAUAUUGUUUGACCGCCUUACAUAUUUAUUCACUACUUUCUCAAGGCUUUACAUGUAUAUGACUGUCUGGAGCUUGGGUUGUUUAGACGCUUUGGUUGUUUGAAAACAAUAUUUUUAUUUUGGAUGUCUAUGUUGUUGGGUCCCCCCCCAUUUUUUAAAUGAACUCUUUUCAUGCUUGGCCACACAAUUGCCCUUUAGGUUCACAGAACUUUAGUAUAGCUUUCACGACCCUAUUGAACACUGCCACCCCUGUCCUUUCCUCUGUGGUCACCUCCUUUGGAUGGAUGCAGUUUUCAAGUAUGAAAUGUAAGUAGUAAUGUAGCUAGAUAAUAGACUUACUGCCAGAAAAGACUGACAGCAUUAUAUUAUAGGUUUAUCUGCACAACGUUUUUUUCACUAACCACUUCAAAAUGUUCCUUAUUUUUGCUUGUAUUCAACACAUCCAGUUAUUGACUGUCACCGCUGGUCGAAAAAGUAUGUUUCUGUGAUUUUGUUUUUUUCUUUCCCCGCAUCAAACCAUUUCAUAUCUCACAAUCGCGCAUUAGUGAUCUUUAGAGUAUAUGACUGAAUUCUCCAUAUUAUGUGGAAAAGAGAGCCAUGUAUUUAUUGUUUUUGGUGUUUUUCAGUCCCUCCGAUUUCAAAUUCCUCCUAAGGCACUAUAAAGCUGUUCACCUUAUUGUGCGUGAAAUCUGAAAUGUAUCUAGAUGAUCUCCCAAAUAGCUAUCAAGAGUUAACAUACUUAACCAUCAGCAGUCAAACUUUUGAAUGAACUUCUGUCAUUAGCAUGCUAAGCCAUUUGCUUGUCAGAGAUGGAAAGACACGUUAAGGUUUUGAGGACGGUAGCAACCUUUGGUUUUAGUGUGUUCAUAUUUUUCUCAUGUAUUCGUUUUUUCAGAAGCUAUUCUAUGAAAGGCCCUGUUCUGUGUGGUCAGUGCUAAGUGCUCUUCGGUUACAAAAAAAAAUCUGCUAACUGCAGUAUAACCUGCACUGUCUUUCACAGUCAUUUGUCGACAUGUCACAUUAAAACAAAAUGACCAUAUCAAAGGGAAAAAAAGUCAAAUUAAUCUAGGCUAGUUCGGUCAACCUGGAAAAGAAAGCUGUGAGCAUUGUGACCACAGUAAGGAGCCACUUUAGGUGAACUUAUUUGCACCACAUAUUUAUUCCCAUAAUCACCAUAAUCACCUAAAGCCUGCUUGUCCCUUACAUGUCUGACUAGAAAGAAGAUGCGAGAGAGAGAGAUAUCCGCUUUGCCCCAUAAGGAAAGCGUAGCCAUUAUAUUCAGGCUCUAUGCAGAUAUUAUGGUGGCUGUCUUGGUAAGGGAAAGCUUGCCCUAGCCUGCACCACUGCUUAUGGCAUGAGUAACCGCUUGUCAUAAUAUUACCCUAGCCCUGCCGGCGUGAAUGUGUGCAGCAAAUCAACCCCUCCCCGAGAUCGGAACAGAAGCUCUGGAGAAUAGCGACCCACCGUGCUUGACUUAUGGCUGAGUAGAUGAAGUUGCCGUUUAAACAUUCUGCCAAACGAGGUGCGAGAUGAACCGGUUCGCCGCGCUUCUCGUCUUUGAAGCCUUGGAGGCCAAGUUUAAUCAAUUCGAUCUAUCUGUUAAUUCUAUUCAUACAGUUCAAGGUGCAUGAGAGUCACCUGGGAGAAGUGGGCAUAUUCAAGAAAGGCAAUGAGUCCUGUAAUGUAUAUGUAAGACGAGGUCGUGAAGUUAGAGAAGCUUCGUCCUGAGGGGCACAGCUUUUCUAUGCCCAGUGCAGUACUUUUGACCAGAACCAUGUGUGACCAGGUGAAAAGUAGCGUACUAUAUAUGGAUAUAUAGGAUAUAUAUAUAUAUAUAUAUAUAGGGAUUAUGUUUCCAUUUGGGAUACGGUCUGAAACACUGAAAGGGCACCAUCUUCACAAAGGAGUGGAUUAACCACAGAUCUGGCUUCUUGCAACACAUCACAUACACAAGAGAUCCAGCACUGCCAAAGGCGCUCUUUUUUUUCCUUUUCUUUUUUGAAUUAAAAACUGCCCCUUGUGCUCAAUUCUACCAUCACACAGGAUGCAAACUACUGUUUCCUUAACACUCCUUUUCUUGAACACCCACCCAUGCAACACUAUGUACGAUGUCCAUACCCAAGGCAUUUGAUUUGUAACGUACCCCAGCUACACAACAUACUCUGUGAAAUUCUGGGAUGAGAGGAAUGCUCCUGACUCCUCUUUUGGGUUUAUUCAAUUUAGUUUCUUUGUAUAAUUACAC